rnacentral:lncRNA from 13 species
GUUGGAUCUGGCCUGCUACUUUGGACACAAAGAUGUUGUGAAGGAGUUACUCAAGGAAGUAGUUAUUUUUCUGUUAUGAUACCUGUGCCACUAUCAUCUACGGGACAGCCCAGGUCCCUAAAUCUGUCUACGAGGAUAAUGAGACCAUCGCCAUGCACGAGGCUGCAGAGAUUAGAGAGGAGAAGAGGAAGGAAGCGAAGCUUCUGGGGGUGGACAGAGAGGGAGACAUCUUCAGCCUGUCUCAGCUGGUCAGCAUCUGAUCAUCCCUGGCCCUCCACUGAACCUCUCAACCUCAAGAUGCGGCCUCCAGACAUCCACUGUAGAGACCUGCCUACAGGGGGCAGAAGCAGUGUGUGAGAAAGAUGCUCAAGUCUGGAGCCAGCCCCAGCAUCAAGAAUGAGCAGUAUGUAGCAACUGAUAUGUCCACUGAAGAAAUUAAACACAUUAUUUUUAUAACUAUGGUAUACCUUUUUAAUAAAUAUUAAAUAGGCUUGUGACUUGCAUGUUUGCAUGGAUAUUACUUUACGAAGAGCCUGGAUGCAGUUUCAAAUCACUUGCAUUUCAUAAUGUAUAGAACAGUCAUAUAGAUUUUGCCUAACAUUUACAAAGCAAAAUCUACUUAGUUGGUGUCUAUUGUGAGUCCCAAAUGACACCCUAUUCCCUACAUAGUGCACUGCCUUUUACCAGAGCCCUAUUCUCCCUGUUAAAAAGUAGUGCACUAGAAUAAGGUUCCAUUUGG